CAUCGAAAUGUCAUUUAGCUUUCACCCUCAUUCCUCGACGGACUACGUGGAGCUCCGCAUAUAAGCCGCUGCCGGUACAUACUCCAUCCACCUCCGCAUCUAAGGCUCCACCGGUAUCGGCCUCGUAGGCACAUACUCCUCCCACCGACACAUUCUAAGCCUCCAUCGAUGGACACGCCGCCAACCUAUGCUACUCCGACACAUACUCCAUCCAUCGAUGAGGCUCCACCGACAUCCACGCCAUGCGAUCUCAAUGAGAGAAGUCGCCACAUGUGUGGAACCGUAAGCAUCAGGUUAUGAUGGAGUAUGACAUGGAGGGAAACCCAGUAGGAGAGAAUGCACGAGAGAUGCAUUCCUUCUUCGGUGUGCUUGUGAGGCGGUCCGACAUCAUUACCAUACUGUCUAUAGACUGGAAAUUAAUGGACACUAGUGUCAAAGACCGGGUGUGGGAAGAGGUUUGAAGAAGGUAUAAUUUUUCAAAUCAUGAGAGGACAUGAGAUGUCCGACUAUAGAAGACUAAAGAGUUGUACCGAAACUAUAAGGUCAAGCUCCACAAAGGAUGGCUAGAUCAUCGUAAGGACAC